UGGGGAAUAUUGCACAAUGGGCGCAAGCCUGAUGCAGCCAUGCCGCGUGUGUGAAGAAGGCCUUCGGGUUGUAAAGCACUUUCAGCGAGGAGGAAGGUGGUGAGCUUAAUACGCUCAUCAAUUGACGUUACUCGCAGAAGAAGCACCGGCUAACUCCGUGCCAGCAGCCGCGGUAAUACGGAGGGUGCAAGCGUUAAUCGGAAUUACUGGGCGUAAAGCGCACGUAGGCGGUUUGUUAAGUCAGAUGUGAAAUCCCCGGGCUCAACCUGGGAACUGCAUUUGAAACUGGCAAGCUAGAGUCUCGUAGAGGGGGGUAGAAUUCCAGGUGUAGCGGUGAAAUGCGUAGAGAUCUGGAGGAAUACCGGUGGCGAAGGCGGCCCCCCUGGACGAAGACUGACGCUCAGGUGCGAAAGCGUGGGGCAGCAAACAGGAUUAGAUACCCUGGUAGUCCAGCGCUGUAAACGAUGUCGAUUUGGAGGUUGUGCCCCUUGAGGCGUGGCUUCCGGAGCUAACGCGUUAAAUCGACCGCCUGGGGAGUACGGCCGCAAGGUU
rnacentral:rRNA from 1 species